GUUGUCUUAGCUCAGUUGGUAGAGUGCGUUUUUUUUAAGUAUGUGGUCGUGGGUUCGAUUCCCACAGACGGCG